rnacentral:rRNA from 1 species
UACAGAGGGUGCGAGCGUUGUUCGGAAUCACUGGGCGUAAAGCGCGCGCAGGCGGGCGUGUAAGUCAGAAGUGAAAUUCCGGGGCUCAACCCCGGAGCUGCUCCUGAUACUGCACGUCUGGAGACCGGUAGAGGCUGGUGGAAUUCCCGGUGUAGCGGUGGAAUGCGUAGAGAUCGGGAAGAACACCCGUGGCGAAGGCGGCCAGCUGGGCCGGUUCUGACGCUGAGGCGCGACAGCGUGGGGAGCAAACAGG